rnacentral:tRNA from 1 species
UAAUUAAUUUAUUAAAAUAUCUACUUUGGAUGUAGAAAAACCAUAAAUAAAUUUAA